rnacentral:rRNA from 1 species
UUGGAGGGCAAGUCUGGUGCCAGCAGCCGCGGUAAUUCCAGCUCCAAUAGCGUAUAUUAAAGUUGUUGCAGUUAAAAAGCUCGUAGUUGAAUUUCGGGAUCAAUAUUUCGGUCAUGCCGUUGGUAUGCACUGUUAUCAUUGAUUUCUCACCUUCUAAAGAACCGUAAUGCCAUUAAUUUGGUGUUACCGGGAAUUAGGAUGUUUACCUUGAAAAAAUUAGAGCGUUUAAAGCAGGCUCACGCUUGAAUACAUUAGCAUGGAAUAAUGAAAUAGGACAUCCGAUUCUAUUUUGUUGGUUUCUAGGAUCGAUGUAAUGAUUAAUAGGGAUAGUUGGGGGCAUUAGUAUUCAAUUGUCAGAGGUGAAAUUCUUGGAUUUAUUGAAGACUAACUACUGCGAAAGCAUUUGCCAAGGAUGUUUUCAUUAAUCAAGAACGAAAGUUAGGGGAUCGAAGACGAUCAGAUACCGUCGUAGUCUUAACCAUAAACUAUGCCGACUAGGGAUCGGAUGAUGUUAAUUUUUUAAUGACUCAUUCGGCGCCUUACGGGAAAC